AAUGAACGCUGGCGGCGUGCCUAACACAUGCAAGUCGAACGAGAAAGCUCUUCGGAGUGAGUAAAGUGGCGAACGGGUGAGUAACACGUAAGAAUCUACCCUUUAGUGGAGAAUAUCUUCGAGAAAUCGAAGUUAAUACUGCAUAAGCCCUGCGGGGGAAAAACGGCCUCUUUGCCGUUGCUGAAGGAUGAGCUUGCGGACUAUUAGCUAGUUGGUGGGGUAAAGGCCUACCAAGGCGAUGAUGGUUAGCCGGCCUGAGAGGGUGUACGGCCACAUUGGGACUGAGACACGGCCCAGACUCCUACGGGAGGCAGCAGUGGGGAAUAUUGCACAAUGGGCGAAAGCCUGAUGCAGCGACGCCGCGUGGAGGAUGAAGGUCUUCGGAUUGUAAACUCCUGUUAAGAGGGAAGAAAAGCUUGCGAGUAAUGUGCGCAAGUGUUGACGGUACCUCUAGAGAAAGCCCCGGCUAACUUCGUGCCAGCAGCCGCAGUAAGAC
rnacentral:rRNA from 1 species